CCUUGUCAUGUAGGAUGACUCAUUAAUUUGGCUCGAUCCAUACCAUCACGUACCCCCACCCAUACAUCAAACAAUCCACAUUAACAUAUGUAGGUCCAACAAUAUAUUCCAUUCAUGGCCAAAUCAAUAGGUUCACAAGUCAUUCAUCAACAUAUUUAUUACAUUCAUCACGGACACAAAACUAUAGUUCAACAAGUGACUUUAGUCACAAAGAUAUCUCAGAUAAAGUAAACAAAUGAAAUCUCACAUCCCUAUCUAACAAGUGUCCUUAGUCACCAAACUAAUAGUUCAAUAGGUGCUGGCAGCUAGGUCUUCUUGGUGUCAGGAGCAUGAGUGAAUACCUUAGGUUGCUGGAAUUUCUCCAUGUCCUGUAGAAAAUACAUCAGAAACAAACAUCACUCGUUGAAACAAAUGAAAAAGUAAAAAAGAAACUUUACAAACAGCAUACUAAGCUAGGUUUCAGUUUUCAGCUGCAUCAACAAUUACAUCAAGUAUACAGUUAUUUAAGGUGAUAGAGGCCCUGGUUAUUUGUCAUGUCAUUUAAUACAGUGCAACACUAAAUGUAUACUGUUAGGAGGGCAUCUAAUCAGUGAAAGAAACACUAGAAAGCGAUCAAGCAGUUUGCUGUGAUUGGAAAUAAAGAAACAAAGUUUGACAGUUAUUUACCUGCAAGUGAAAAGCUUCCUUCACUUUUUUUGUGAAACGAAAAGCUUCAUUCACUGAAUCUAAAAGCUCAAGAACUCACCUCAUUGCAGCCCAAACUGACAUUCAAAAAGCUCAGAUCCUGAAAGUCCAGUGUAAAGACUGUAACGGUUGAGUGGGAGAAAAAUAGCACACAUUCUAUGCAUAUAAGUGUACUGCCAAAACAAAGAUAUAUAUAAGUGUACAGCCAAAACAAAGAUAUAUAUAUAUAUAUAUAUAAGUUAAGCAAAAAAGACUUAGCAGGAAGUAGCAAUCAAUACCAGAUUGAAAAGAAAGGUUUGAAAUUGACAGGCUCUCCAAAUAGAGUAAUAGGAUUUAUUACAGUACUUGACACAUGGAAAAUAGGUCCAUGCCAUGGUUCUUUGUAAUCUAUGCCAUAAACUUCAAAAUUGUGAAGGCCACUGCUGAUACUAGAAGGAUAACUAUAUGCAUAUGCAGCCUCCCCCUCUUCCUAUGGCAGCACAAUUAGUUCUUGGUGCGAAAUGAUUAAUGCAAAACCAGCAGGUUGACAAAAUGCAUAACAAAGCGACAUAUAUUAGCAGGUUAUAUGCAUUAACUGUCCAGUCCAUUAUAGUUCUAGUAUUCAGAACAAAAAUUGCCAGAGCAGGUUAUAUGCUUAUUAUGAACAUAUAUCAAUUACAUCAGAAACUAUGGACUUUGCUACCUGGCUACAUUUUGACAUUCUAAUUGCCAGAGCUUGUUGCAGCUGCUCCUGUUGCUACAGCAGUGUUAGCAAACAAAAUGGACAAAGCCAACCUGAUAACUAUGAUUCUAACAGUUGUUCUGCACUUAUGAAUUAAACUUUAAAAUCUUAUGAUAGAUCCAGAGAAAGCAAAAAGGAAGUUAUUUGCCAAUAUGUUAAUACCAAUUUAGAAGUAAGAAAUUUUUAUUUUUAUUGCCUAGGAUUUACCAGCUCAAGGAAAAGAGAACACGGCAGUUUGAGAAUUUAUAUUUUAAAACUGGCUAAAUGUUUCUGAUGUAUUAUUUUGUUUAAAUUUAGUUGUAUAAUACCCAUUUUUUUGUUUAUCUAUAUAUUUCUUAUAUCUGAUCACAUAAAUCAAUUUAGAUAGCCUCACACACAAAAACUAAAUCCUUUUUAAUUUUCUAUGCUGAUACAUCACACUGUUUUAGCAGUAUUUAGAAUUGAGAAAUUAUGUUUAUACCUGGCUAAAUGUUUAUGAUGUAAUUUUUUUGUUAAUUUUAGUUGUAUAAUACACAUUCUCUGAAUGACGUAUGUACAUGAUAAAUUUCUAUAAUAUACUGAAAAUGAUGCAAUGAAUUGUGAUCUCCCUUAAUUGUCUUGCAGCACUCUAUUUAUGUAACGAAUCCUCUCCCAACUGGUGUAGAUUAAAUAAUCCAAUUUGAUUCAGAGCAAAAAUAAAAUGAAAAAUAAAAUUUCAACAUAAGAAAAGAAUAAAUUUCCUCGAGCUGUCAAUGUUGUGGAGCCAUGUACGGCAGCAGCAACAAAUUUCCCGUGGUCACCCCAAAAGCCUAGGCAACAAUACCCUACACAAUCAUGGAUGUCCAGAUCUGAAGAAAUUCUUUAGGGGAUGAGUUCACAGGGAGAGGAAACUGGAAAUCCGAACCUGGAGAAUGCGGACGUCGCGCUUGGGAUCUUGGGGCGACCUUUUUGGUGGCCGAGGCCUGGGGGCAGCGAGCGCUGGAUCUCGUGCUGGCAGCAGGGACGACGGGUCUGGUGGGUAGGAGCGGAGGCUAAUGGCUGAGAGACGGUGGUGAUGGCAGGUGGCGGCAGGACUGUGGUGGCUGGGGACGUCCGGCAACUCUGCUGGUUGUGCCUGGCGGCGGAGGAGGGGCAGAAGGCUCGACUCAAAUGAUUGGAUUUGGGGAAGGGGAGAGAGGUCACGGGGGAGAGAUGGGAUGGCGCAUGUGGCUGAAUUUUUUUUUAGAAUCCACGCUUUCCUCCUAUGGCGCCUUGUUUAGUUUCCAAAAAAUUUCAAAAUUCUCCGUCACAUCGAAUUUUGU
rnacentral:lncRNA from 1 species